UUCUGAGGGGCACGGGACGGGGUCUGCAGACGGCUGAGGGGGUGAAAGUAUGUGGCUUGAGGGGAGCAGGCCAGGCCAACUUCGUCUCCCGGGACCAGCGCUCCCAAGUUCUGCUGGGCGUCCCGGCGUCCGCGCGCUCCUGGGGCAUCGGCGUCCUGAGGUGAAGGGGUCCGGGUCGGCCCGGGUCGGCGAGACCAGGGUCCGGCUCUGGCCCGCGCAGGCCCACUCGUCCUGACCCAGUGCUUUGUCACCCCCAGCCGAGGGCCUACGCGCCACCGACAGAUAGUGGAUGGUGCUGGACUUCUAAGGACCACAAAUGCUUCUUUUCCUGGAGCUGCACCCUGAGGAUGUCAUGUGCGUGAAGGUGACAGUUGAAGCAAUGGGGGUGACAAGCUCGUCUAUGGAGAGGUGUAGAAAGAGAAAACCACGCAGGAGCCACUUGGAAGGACGCGCUGGAAGGUUGGCUGGCAGUGACCAGGGAGAGUGCACAUGAGUGGGGGAUUUGUAAUUCAUUAAUCAGCACGAGGCACCAGUUUCAACACCAGAGGCUUCAUGGGUGACUCAGCGAGAAUGCUCCUGAUUCAGGGCGAUGGACAGACCAAGCGUCCCCAUUUGUGAACUGCUUCCCCAUAAAGACAUUUGGCAUUCUUCUUCCUUUGGGGUUUUGGGUUGUCGGUUUUUUCUGGUGCUGAGGUAGGGGCGGUUUGGCUGUGCAGUGCUCUCUUUCCUUCCCUUAGGCCUGGGUUGGGACUUGCUGGGCAGGAUACCUAGGGGACCCACAAGCCUAGACCCUUCCUGGAGGGUCUCCCUUCCUCCCUCUACAAAGGGCUGCCAGGGAGAGCAAGCAGAGAGGAAACAGCUCUUAAUCUGGGGCUUGUAGACAACAUCCACUUUGUGAUUUUUCUUGGAGGACAGUCAUUUGGUCUCCAAGGCUUGGGUGCUCUAGAACUACACCACCAAUUAAAUCAUUUGGUUAUAAGUUG